AGUGAACGCUGGCGGUAGGCCUAGCACAUGCAAGUCGAACGGCAGCACAGUAAGAGCUUGCUCUUACGGGUGGCGAGUGGCGGACGGGUGAGGAAUACAUCGGAAUCUACUUUUUCGUGGGGGAUAACGUAGGGAAACUUACGCUAAUACCUCAUACGACCUACGGGUGAAAGCAGGGGAUCUUCGGACCUUGCGCGAUUGAAUGAGCCGAUGUCGGAUUAGCUAGUUGGCGGGGUAAAGGCCCACCAAGGCGACGAUCCGUAGCUGGUCUGAGAGGAUGAUCAGCCACACUGGAACUGAGACACGGUCCAGACUCCUACGGGAGGCAGCAGUGGGGAAUAUUGGACAAAGGGCGCAAGCCUGAUCCUGCCAUACCGCGUGGGUGAAGAAGGCCUUCGGGUUGUAAAGCCCUUUUGUUGGGAAAGAAAAGCAGCAGGUUAAUACCCCGCUGUUCUGACGGUACCCAAAGAAUAAGCACCGGCUAACUUCGUG
rnacentral:rRNA from 1 species